rnacentral:rRNA from 1 species
GGCUUGUUGAUUAUAAUUUUAAGUCCUGCCUGCCCAAUGAGAGGAUUGAAUGGCCGCGGUAUUUUGACCGUGCAAAGGUAGCAUAAUCAAUAGUUUCUUAAUUAGAAGCUGGUAUGAAGGGUUUGAUGAAAGAGCUGCUGUCUCUGGUUGAAUUACUUAGAAUUUUAUUUUUAAGUUAAAAAGCUUAGAUUUGUAUAAAAGACGAGAAGACCCUAUAGAGUUUUAUGAGUAACUGCAAGUUUUAGGUUAGGGUUUUAUGCUAAAUUUUGUUUUUAUUUAUUUGGUUGGGGUGACAGGAAAAUUUGUUAAACUUUUCUUUAUUGAAAUAUUGAUUUGUAGAUUUAUGAUCCUAGGAUUAGAUUAUAAGAUUAAAUUACCUUAGGGAUAACAGCGUUAUUUUUUUUAGAGUUCUUAUCGAAAAAAUAGAUUGCGACCUCGAUGUUGGAUUAAAAUUGAUUAUUGGUGAAGAAGCUGAUAAGUUGGGUCUGUUCGACCCUUAAAAUUUUACAUGAUCUGAGUUUAAACCGGUGUGAG